UACAGAGGGUGCGAACGUUGUUCGGAAUUACUGGGCGUAAAGCGCGUGUAGGCGGCAGCGCAAGUCGGGCGUGAAAUCCCACGGCUCAACCGUGGAAGUGCACUCGAAACUGCGCAGCUAGAGUCCUGGAGAGGAAGGUGGAAUGCUUGGUGUAGAGGUGAAAUUCGUAGAUAUCGGGAGGAACACCAGUGGCGAAGGCGGCGAUCUGGACGGAUACUGACGCUGAGGUGCGAAAGCGUGGGGAGCAAACAGG
rnacentral:rRNA from 1 species